rnacentral:lncRNA from 1 species
AGAGGGUGAGAAGCGCUGGGCCGGACCAGAACUGUCUUAGCUUUUCCCUCUGCGGCUGCUCUGGUUGGUUACUUUGAGCCUGCCUCCUCAGCGCCGCAGGAGAGACUUAACAGCAAAAAUGACUGUGUCCUGAGUUCAGCCCCCACUGCUCUGGGAGCUUCCCCCUGGUUUCUGCACCUGAAGAAUGUCAUCCCAGCCGAAGGUUCUUAGGAGCGGGGAGCGACAAAGAAAAACAAAGAAAAGCAGACCUGAAAAUUGGGACCUGGGAGAAAUAGACGAGUGCUCUAAACCAGUAUCAUGGCUCCAGUUCCUCUGACAAGGAUUCACAUGGGCAGAUCCCGAACCACUCAAAAGGACAAAACAAGGAAAUAGCAAUGAAAUUGGAUUCAGUGAAUGGGGUAAGGGUAUUAAGUGUCUGAAAUAUAAGAGAUAAAAAAAUUAGUUUUUACCUUUUUUUCUAUUUUCUAAAUGUUUUGGUGGCUAGAAUAAGAUAUACUUUGAACUCAAGAGCAAUAAAUGUUAAUAUAUUAAAAGUAGCUUUAUGAAAUAUGGAAAGUAUCUUUAUUUCAAAAUACUUCAAAGUAAUCAUCUGAAUAUUUAUCAGAAAUAUUAAGACAACUUAUUAAAUCCUGUAUUAAAAUGAUUGCUUAUUACUUUUUGUUUAUACUAGUCAGAAGUGAUUCUCUUCCACAUUUUAGAUUUUUCAGAGUAAAAAGGAUAUAAUUUUAGACUUUCAAUUGAAUAUAAACUGGGGUUUUUCCACACGAUUUGUGGACAUGGCUGUCUGAUGGUGACUCUUAGGUAUUUAUGCUAAAAAUGUUAUUUUGGGGAUCCUUGGGAAUGGACUCUGAUAUUUAUUUAUUUAUUUAUUUAUUUAUUUAUUUAUUUAUUUAUUUUGAGGCGGAGUUUCACUCUUGUUGCCCAGGCUGGAGUGCAAUGGCACCUUGCCGGCUCACCGCAACCUCCGCCUCCUGGGUUCAAGCAAUUCUCCUGCCUCAGCCUCCUGAGUAGCUGAGAUUACAGGCAUGCGCCACCACGCCCGGCUAAUUUUUUUAUAUUUUUAGUAGAGACGGGGUUUCUCCAUGUUAGUCAGGCUGGUCUCGAACUCCCGACCUCAGGUGAUUCACCCACCUCGGCCUCCCAAAGUGCUGGGAUUACAGGCAUGAGCCACCAUGUCCGGCUGGACUCUGAUAUUUAUAUUCACAUUAUUGGCCAGUAGGGAACUGAUAUCUGACUCAAAAAUUAGUAGGAUAUGAAAUCCUUCAUUCUAUCCAUGAGCUUGUUAUUCUUGAGAAAAAAAUUUACUUUGAGAGUCUGAGGAAUGAUAAGUUUGUUACAUUCCGGAAUCUAGUUUUGGUGUUGUGUCCAUCCUUUAGAUAGGGUGCAGCUCUGUUUUACCAUAGCAACAACUAACUUUUAUUUCCAUAGCCACUGACUGCACUCCUGACCCUGCCAACCAUCUUGCAAAUACAUCCUCUUGCUUAGAAGAACCAGGGGAGGGGUGGGGCAUGGUGGUUCAUGCCUGCAAUCCCAGCACUUUGGGAGGCUGAAGCGGGCAGAUCACUUUGAGCUCAGGAGUUCAAGACCAGCCUGGGCAAAAUGGCGAAACCGUCCCUUAAAAAAAAAAACAAAAUCGCAUCACUAUACUCCAGCCUGGGAAACAGAGUGAGACCCUAUCUCAAAAGAAAAAAAAAAAAAAAAAAAAGGGCCAGGCACAGUGGCUCACGUCUGUAAUCCCAGCACUUUGGGAGGCUCAGACGGGCAGAUCACCUGAGGUCAGGAGUUCGAGACCAGCCUGACCAACAUGGUGAAACCCCAUUUCUACUAAAAAUAAAAAAUUAGCCAGGCAUGGUGGAAUGCGCCUAUAGUCCCAGCUACCAGGGAGGCUGAGGCAGGAGAAUCACUUGAACCAGGGAGGCAGAGGUUGCAGUGAGCCAAGAUCACGCCACUGCACUUCAGCCUGGAUGACAGAGUGAGACUCUGUCAAAAGAAAAGAAAAGAAAAAAGAGAGGGAGAGAAAGAAGAGAAAGAGACGGAGGGAGGGAGGAAAGAAGGAAGGAAAAGAGAGAAAAAGAGAAGGAAGGGAGAGAGGGAGGGAGGGAGAGAGAGAGGAAGGGAGGGAGGGGAGGAAGAGGAGGAGGAAGAAAGAAAAGAAGGGCAACAACCAGGGGAAGAAUAUGGAUGAAUCAGUCCAAAUUUAUCAUCAUCACUGUGCCUUUCUGGUGACAGGUCAGUGGUGAUAAUGCUCUUUGAGGAUGACUCCCUGCAGUACUAACGGAAGCACAAAAGUGCCAGAACUGGAUGACAGCUCACUUAUUUCAGGCUAGAAAAAAAUCUGGGCACACUAGGGUGAAUGAUAAGCUCCUUGGCAUGCUAGCCAAAAUCAGCUUAAAAGAGGGCUACCUGGGUACAAGAGAACCCUUAUUUUGGGUUGAAAAGCAGAAGCUUCCCAAGAGGGAAGAUACACUGAAGCUGAAGGUGUGGCAGUCCCCCCAACCAAUUAGACUGGGGAUGAAGGCUGCUUAGUUGGACUAGGAAAAGUAAUGGAUACUGGAUUCCAGAGUGGGCAAUGUUGGGAGGAGCAAGGUAGAAUGUGAUUUAAAGGGACUAAGAAAUUUUGGGCUGAGCUAGGCUAUAGGAGAAUGGUAGACAGACCUGAGGAUUUUGCUGGGCUGUGUCAGUCUGGGUUAUAGAAGUGGGUGGAAAUUACAACUAAGGGACUUGGAGAUGAGGGGAGGUAAGAAGACAGAUCUGAUGGUAUUGAGGUAGGGGCUGCUAAGAGAAGCAUCAAACAGGAGGGCUAGCCCAGGUUUGAGCUGGACACUCCACUGACAGUUCUAAAGCAGAAAAUUAGGGAAGGAAUAGUCAGGGGCUUAUCAGCUAUGCAGUAGCUUCUAGAAGUCAACAGCUGGCUCUGGGAGGGAAAAGAUUGAGAAAAACAAAAGAAAUAAAUAAGAGCAGAAGGUAUAGGGGAAAAGGUAGGGGUGAGAGUUAUCAGUCUGGUUAGAGCUGGGCUAAACAUUUAGUCUUACCAUCAGUUUAAAAGCACCUGGACCAGUUAGUUGCUGUACAGGCAAAGUCAAAGGGAGAAGCCUGGCCUCUCUCUACUCAGUCAAGGUUCAUGACUUUAGGAGACUGCAAUGAACCAGGCAUACCAGGAAAGGAAAAGGUUAACUGAGGUUGAAAAAAAAACUUUAUGUGGCACUUUUAAACAAGCAGGUUGGUUUGGCUUGUGUGACUAUGAUGGUGCCUGAUUUUGAGCAGAGCAAUUUGUGUUGUGACAUUUUAAAAUCCAUUCUGGCACUUGGUGAUGAAUGUGUUGGCUGGCAGCUAAGAACUUGCUAGAAUGCAAGUAUGCAAGUCUUCACCAUUUAUAAUCGACACUUCCUUUCCAGGAAAGAGCCUUUCUAAUCUUUGAAUCAGUGGAUUUAUCAAUUUGCAUAAAAUAUGCCAUCCUCAAUGAACACAUUUAUCAUCUACCACUUAACUUUCCUUCUGUUAAAAAAAAAAAAAAAGCAGAAUCACCUUCCUGUGAGUCAGCAGCUUUAAAUUCAGCUGUGCUGGGUGAAGCUGUUAAGGGUAGGAAGGAGCCAUCACUAGAAGGGGGAGAAGCAGGAAUAAAAUGAUCUUUUCUAUUUCCAUGAUUUUUUAUGUUUCUGUUUAAAUGGUUAAAUACCCAAUUAGGUUAGAUGCUAAUUAAAUGUAAAAUUACUGGGCUGUUCCAAUAUGCAUGUUAAAGUUGUACUUCUUGGUUGUUUGUAAUUUACCUAACUCUUGAGAGAUCAUCAGAGCAGCCCAGCUGAGUUUAAAGAAGGCUUCCAACUGCCCAGGAUAUGCAUCAGUUCCUGAACAAAAAAAGAACACCCCAGGAUCAACAGAAGCUACUAUCAAAUCCUUCAAACACUACAUGCACCACAUGCUCACAUUUGUCCUAUUUUUGCUACUAUUUAUCCACAAAAAAGCCAAGCCUGAACUCCUUCUUGAGGCCAAAACUUAAAAAUAUACCAAAUGAAUCAGUUCAAAAUUUUACAAAUUUGGUUUGGCUUAAUCAUAACUGAUUCUUCAUACUAUUGACACCGUUGAUUCUUCACACUAUAGAUACCACUCACUAAAAUUACAACUCAGUCACCUCUUCCCAUAUACCAUAUUUCAUUAAAAUCAAUGUAAGAUAAGAAAUGGUUACCAGAUGCCAUCGUUUCAGACCAAACCAUAUGUCAAAUUUUGAAUAAACCUAACAACAUCUGAUUGGUUAAGUAGCAUACCUAGAUUUAUUAAAAUCACUACACUCCUUUAAUGUCUGUAGGAGAACAUGCAUGCACAAGCACACACACGUUGUGUGUGCAUUUAUAUAUAUAUAUAUAUAUAUAUAUAUAUAUAUAUAUGUAUAUGCUACUGCAAAAUUGAAGAGACUUUACCAAGUUCUGUCAUUGACAGGGACAUUAUAUAUAAAGAAUAUACAUACUGUAAUUCACCUCAUCAAGAGUUAAUUUUAUGGCCGGGCACAGUGGCUCACACCUGUAAUCCUAACACUUCGGGAGGCAGAUCACUUUGAGCUCAGGAGAUUUGAGACCAGCCUGGGCAACGUGGCAAAAACCCAUCUCUACAGAAAAAUACAAAAAUGAGCUGGGCGUGGUGACUCCCGCCUGUAGUCCCAGCUGUAUACAUGGGAGGCUGAGGCUGGAGGAUUGCUUGAGCCAGGUAGCAGAGGUUGCAGUGAGCCAAGAUUGUACCAGUGCACUCCGCCCUGGGUGACAGAGCAAGACCUUGUUUCAAAAAAAAAAAAAAGAGUUAAUUGUACCAGGAACAUGUGGUGUCAAAAUUUAAAAUAUGUGAACUCUUUGACCCAGCAAUGCUAUUUUCAGGGAUAUAUCCUAAGAUCAUCACCAGCAAAGUAUAUAAGGAUGUGCAUGCAAAAAUAUUCAUCAUGGCUUUCUUUAUACAAUGAAAAAUUGGAAAUAAACUUCUCAUUAAUGGGAUGCUGGUUAAAGAAAAUCAUUACUGUAAUAUGCAGCCAUCUAAAAGGGUAAUUUAUAUGUAUAUAUAUUUACAUAAGAAAACCCUCAUGUCAUAUUGCUGAGUAAAAAGAAAGAUGUCAAUGAGUAUUCAUGAUGUGAUUCUAUUUAUCCUUGCAAAUGGUGGAAAUUCAAUUAUAUGGUAUUUUCUCUCUUUUCUGUUUGUUUUUCAUAUAUGUAUAUAUUUCCUUUGAAAUCAGAAAAAAAUCAAGCUAUUUUCAUCAGAGGAAAAAAAUCAUUACUCUGUAUUUCAGUCACACUAAAAUAGUCACCCAAGAAGCCAAUUGUAGCUCUUUUAUUUCUGUGCCUUCUGUUGGAAGGAAAACUGUACAUAAACAGACCACAUUACAGAGAAAAUUUGAAUGGAUGGUGUCUGGUGCCUAAACCAAAACAGAGGUGAAAUAUUAUACAAACUGAAGAGGAUGACUUUAUCAUAGUGUUUGAAAGAAUUCUGUGUGUGUGUGUGUGUGUGUUGUGUGUGUGUAGAUACAUACUAGUAUAUUUUCAUUACUAACCAAAAACAUAAUGUAAGUUCCAAAUGGCAGCAAAGAAUAUAAUUACCUUUGGCUUUUCUUACAUAAGUUACCACCCCAUAAAUCUUUAUGUUAAUUUGGAAAAAUCUGACCUGAACAGAUGGACCUCAUGCUGUUCUCUAAAACAUGAACAGAUUUCUGAUCUUCUGGACCAGGAAAUGAAGUCAGCACUAAAAGAGAAGACACCAUCAUCCAGCUCCUAGAAUUUCAAUCUAAGAAUCUGUAAUAAAAGCAGUAUUUCCCUCUACAGAAAUAUAGCAAAGUAAUAUGUUUACAUCUUAAUGAAAUGUACUCUUGAUAUGAUAAAACACAGUGUGAUAUUUAUAGCACUGGUGGUGCUGGCUGUCUGGUCCCUGAACCUCACCAAUUUUGGAGAAUCCCCUUGCUGUGGUUCUUGGCAGGUAGAGCAUUUGGCUUGAUGCUCCCAAGUUUCUUAUGGAAGGCACAUCUCUGGGGCUGACACUCUGUGUGGAUAAAUCUUCAUCUCAUUAGUCCAAGGGCCUUUUUUCCAUGAGCAUUUUCACAGAAGCUGUUUCACAAAUCAACUCCAUUGGUGUUGAAGACCUAAUAAAGGGCUCUCUAUCAAGUAAUUACAGCACUGAGGUUUGAAUUUCUGCUCCACAACCUUCUAGUUGUUUAAUUUAUGUCGGGAAGAGACUGGUCGAUAAGCAGGCCUGAAUCUGAGGAAGAAUUGGGGCCAAGGAGGUGGCCUGUGAGGUCAGGAGAUUGGUUACAUAAAAGAAGAAUGAGUAAAUAGUUAAAUAUAUCGAGGAUAAUGGAAGCCAGAUUUUUUUACCAAGAGAGAAGGAAGUUACAAAUAGAAUAAGGGUGAAGACUAGAAUGAACCCUGUAGUGUUGGAGUAGAGCUAGAGAUAUUGGAGUAAAUUCAUGAGUUUUAAUAUAAAUGGACAGAAAGAUAUAUAAAUAGAUAUAGGGGUGUGUGUGUGGGUGUGUGUGUGUGAAUUUCCUAGCUCUGUCU